GCUCGUGUCGUGAGAUGUUCGGUUAAGUCCGCUAACGAGCGCAACCUCGUCGUAUGUUAUAUGUGUCAUACGAGACUAGCCGGUAAAAAGCCGGAGGAAGGUGAGGAUGAUGUCAAGUCAGCAUGACCUUUAUAUCCAGGGCUACACACACGCUACAAUGGUCUGUACAAUGGGUAGCCAAGCCGCGAGGCGGAGCCAAUCCUGAAAGCAGGCCUCAGUUCAGAUUGCAGUCUGCAACUCGACUGCAUGAAGCCGGAGUUGCUAGUAACCGCAGGUCAGCAAUACUGCGGUGAAUACGUUCCCGGGUCUU
rnacentral:rRNA from 1 species